CAUUUGCCAAAUGAAAUGUCUCGAGCUACUAUUAUUUUGGCCCCAAAAAUCACUGUCCAAACCUUUCCCACCUCAAAAUUCAAAACCCUAGCCCUCAGAAUCCGCCACGCACAGAACACUCGCCAUUACUCCCUCGCUAGCUCAUCAAAGCAGCACAGCGACAUGUCGCACUUCGGCCGAUCUGGUCCUCCAGAUAUCAGAGACACCUUUUCUCUCCUCGUCCUCAACAUCACUUUCCGCACCACCGCCGACGAUCUUUUCCCUCUCUUCGACAAGUACGGCAAGGUAGUUGAUGUAUUUAUACCUCGCGAUCGAAGGACUGGAGAAUCGAGAGGUUUUGCCUUUGUGAGGUAUAAAUAUGCUGAUGAGGCACAAAAGGCAGUUGAUAAACUUGAUGGGAGAGCUGUGGACGGGAGAGAGAUUAUGGUGCAAUUUGCCAAGUAUGGUCCUAAUGCGGAGCGAAUUCGGGAUGGGAGGAUAGUGGAAUCAACUUCAAAGAUAAAGAGUAGGUCCAGAAGCCGCAGCCCUCGUCCAAAGUAUCGGGAUGGCUACAGGGACCGGGACAGGGAUUACAGAAGGAGAAGUCGCAGUAGAAGCAGGGAUCGAUAUGAACGGGAUGGGAAUCGAGGUAGGGAUAAAGAUUAUCAUCGCCGAAGUGUGAGUUGCAGCCCUGAUCGCCGCAAAGACCGUGGUAGAGGAUAUUAUGAGGAACGACGCAGUCGGAGCCUGUCUCAUGGAAGCCCUGAUUCUCCAAGGAGUCCUCCACGCAAGGCUCAUCUCAGGGAUGAAAGUCCUAAUGGACACAAUGAUAACAAACACUCUCCUACUUCAAAGAGCAUCUCUCCUCAUGAUGAACCGGUGGAUUCUUGAGCCUAUUUGCAGGAAGAUCUGAUACUGAUGAGUGGUGGGAAUUCUGCUCUUUGAGUGGCGUGUCCCUACUUUUAAUUUGUCUGGAUGAGGCUUUGGUCCUGGAGCCAACUUCCACUGGUGAAGGGUUUAGUUUCCAUUGACAGAUUGACUACCAAUGCUGCCUGCCUUCUCCAUUCUUUGGCACGUUUAAACGGAAGGGGAAAUUCAGGGCAAAAAGGAUCGAUCCAAAUCCAAAAUAAAAUGAAAACUGGUACCAUUUUUGUCGUUUUGUUUGGAUUGUACAUAUUUAUUAGUAUCAACAGGGCUGCAAACAAAGUGCUUUAUCUAUGCUUGAGAAGCUCGUCUGAAACUCGUGAAUCAUUAGGAUGCAAUAUUGAAGGAUCCCACGGAGCAGUGCUACCUUAAAUCGAGACAAGGGGGAAGUUAAUUCUACCAAAAGAUAUUUUGUAUUACCCACCAUGAAUGUGCGAUUUGGUUCCUCGUGUUCUUUUAGGUAGUGUAGGUAGUGUUUGGUUCGGAGUAGCAACUGGCUUGGGAUUUCCUGCAACUUCGCUGGAGGUAUCGCUAGAAUGAACCUUGCCUAUUCAGUUUUCAAAGGCAGUCUGCGGAUGCUUCAUUAUCAUCGUUUCCUGGUCUCUCAUGUUGGUCCUGCCAUAAAUGAACUCUUUGGUUCCAUCUCACGCGGAUCAGUCAGGUCUCCAACUCAUCUAUCUUGAUUUGUCGUUUAAUCAGAUGCCCAGGAAUACUCCAACCUGAAAUCAGCCUCCUUGUUGUAAAUCAGUUAACUGGUUCAGUUCCUCAAGAAAUGGGUUGAUUACGGUCCGUUCUGAACUAGUUUUGCUUGGCAACCAGUUAUGUGGUCAAAUGUCUGCUUCAUUGGGAGAUUUGAGGUGUCUGACUUUUCUAUUUUCGCACCAAAGUAACCUUUCUGGUUCCAUUCCACCGGAAAUGGGAAAGUUUUCCAAUUUAGUUGAACUUUACGUGGAUACCAAUUAUCUAUCAGGACACAUCCCUAAUAAGAUCUACGAAGUUAAUUAUGUUCUUCAUGUACCAAAAUCAACUUUCUGCUCCGAGUCCCGAUGAAAUCAGAUACUUGAAGUCCCACCAACAGCUAAGCCUCUUCGGAAACCAUCUUUCCGGCUCUUUCCAGCAGCAAUUGGUGGCCUGAGAAAUUUCACCCAUCUUCGUCUCUACAAAAAUCGACUUUCUGGCUCCCUUCCUGAAGAGCUAGGAAACUUGGAGUCUUUUGUUGAUCUAGAGUUGGGCAACAAUCAAUUGAGCGGCCCGGUUCCUGCUUCAAUUGGUAAUUUGACCAACCUGGAAGUGUAUUCUUCGCAACAACCUACUCUCCGGCUCUAUUUCUGAAGAGAAGGCAUAUCUUAAAAAAGUUCGUUUUGGCUUUUGCCAAAAACAUUUGCCAAACUCAAUCACUUCAAAACUUCUGUCAAUAACAACAAACUCACAGGUCCAAUCCCCAAAAGCUUGAGAGAUUGCAAAAGCUUUGUAAGAGCCCACCUGAAGUAAACCAACUGGCUGGAAAUAUUUCUGAA